AGCGUUGUUCGGAUUUACUGGGCGUAAAGCGCACGUAGGCGGUUUGUUAAGUGAGAGGUGAAAUCCCAGAGCUCAACUCUGGAACUGCCUUUCAUACUGGCAAGCUAGAGUCCGGAAGAGGUAAGUGGAACUCCUAGUGUAGAGGUGGAAUUCGUAGAUAUUAGGAAGAACACCAGUGGCGAAGGCGGCUUACUGGUCCGGAACUGACGCUGAGGUGCGAAAGCGUGGGGGGCAAACAGGAUUAGAUACCCUGGUAGUCCACGCCGUAAACUAUGAGAGCUAGCCGUUGGGUGGUUUACCACUCAGUGGCGCAGCUAACGCAUUAAGCUCUCCGCCUGGGGAGUACGGUCGCAAGAUUAAAACUCAAAGGAAUUGACGGGGGCCCGCACAAGCGGUGGAGCAUGUGGUUUAAUUCGAAGC
rnacentral:rRNA from 1 species